rnacentral:rRNA from 1 species
GCAUGGCUGUCGUCAGCUCGUGUUGUGAAAUGUUGGGUUAAGUCCCGCAACGAGCGCAACCCUUAUCCUUGUUUGCCAGCGAGUAAUGUCGGGAACUCCAGGGAGACUGCCGGUGAUAAACCGGAGGAAGGUGGGGACGACGUCAAGUCAUCAUGGCCCUUACGAGUAGGGCUACACACGUGCUACAAUGGCGCAUACAGAGGGCGGCCAACUUGCGAAAGUGAGCGAAUCCCAAAAAGUGCGUCGUAGUCCGGAUUGGAGUCUGCAACUCGACUCCAUGAAGUCGGAAUCGCUAGUAAUCGUGAAUCAGAAUGUCACGGUGAAUACGUUCCCGGGCCUUGUACACACCG